GGUCCCGUGGCCCAAUGGAUAAGGCGUCUGUCUACGGAACAGAAGAUUCCAGGUUCGAUCCCUGGCGGGAUCA